UAAUUAAAUUUAAAAAUCCUAUCAUACUGAAGUGCAUUAUUACCUGUGCUGAAAUUAAUUAUACCCUAUAGAGUCUCCGGAAAACAUAUCGAUAUUAUUCCAGGUUUUUUUUUUUUUUUCUUUUUUUAAAUGUCAAAAGUCAAAAGAAAGAAUCUCCUGGACUCUUUGCAUGGCUCACUCAUUAAUGAAAUAGUACUCCUUAGUAGUGGUGGUGGUGGUGCAGGACCUGAGCCAGUGACGAUUUCAUCCUCAGCUGUGUUAGUUAAAACAUGUGUCCAUCAUCAGGGACAGCGGCACAGCGUGGGUCCAUCAUCUAGGGUAGCAGCAUGACGUGGAUCCAUCAUUUGGGACAGCAGUACGGCGUGGAUCCAUCAUCAGGGACAACAGCACAGCGUGGGUCCAUCAUCUGAAACAGCAGCACGGCGUGAGUCCAUCAUCUGGGACAGCAGCACAGCGUAGGUCCAUCAUCUGGGACAGCAGCACGGUAAAAGGAUGAAGAUGAGAGAGAAGGUGGAGAGGAAAGUGACAGGAAAAAUGACGGAAGAACUGGAACAAAACUCGAUAAAGGAAUGUAAUAGUUUUAAGCCUAAAAAAAAAAAAAAAAAAAAAGCGGAGAUCAGAAAGCGAGAGAGGACGGAGAAAUUUGGGAAGGUUUUUCAAGAGAAGUUAGAUGUGGAAGGAGCACAGAUAAAAAAAAAAGUCUACAUAAUGGAGAUGAAGUGAUGUUCUGUACAGUUUUCAAGAGAAGUUAGGUGUGGAAGGAGCACAUGUGGAAAAAGUGUACAGAAUGGAGAUGAAGUGAUGUACAUUACAUAAUGAAUAAUAAUGAAGCUAAGAUAAAUAAGGAAAGCAUAGAUAAAAUCAUGAUUGCACUAGACAAGACUAAGAGGAAGAGAGAAUGUGAUGCAAUGCUAAAAGAAGUUACAGGAGAGAAGACAUGGAGGCCAAUCAAAAAACGCGAGGGAAAAUUAUGAAAAUUGCGAGUGAGAAAUCGAACUGAGAGGGUAUGAAGUGCCGGUGCAUGGGAUAGAGAUAUGAGAACAGUGUAAAAAUUACAGCAAUACAGUAAAUGUUCAAGGAUUAAUAAAACAAGAGCAAAGGAAGUAUAGUAUAGUAUAGUUUGUCUAAGAAAUUAAGAGAUGUAAAUUUUGAUAAUAAUUGUAUAAUUUUACUUCGCUCAUAUGAUUGCGCACUUGGCUACCAAAGAGAAGGCCCGCGCAGCGCUCGUCAUCAUCAUAAGGCAGGGUCAACAUCUGUUUUCUACCAUUUUGAUUGCCGCACCAGGCUAGUUUUGGAGUGUGAAAUUGCUCCAUGCUCUCAGUACCACUUGAGAGGACCUCACACUGCUGGGCCCACUGUGAUGCCAAGGGGUGGCUGCUCAGUGAUGCAGUAAUACCUGCUGCAAAUGAUGGUCCCAUGCCUUACUGCUGUCCCAGAUGAUAGACCCCACACCAUGCCACUGUCCCAGAUGAUGGACCCACACCAUGCUGCUAUCCCAGAUGAUGGACCCAUGCCAUACCAGUCCCAGAUGAUGGACCCAUGC